rnacentral:rRNA from 1 species
GAUGAACGCUGGCGGCGUGCCUAAUACAUGCAAGUCGAGCGAACAGACGAGGAGCUUGCUCCUCUGACGUUAGCGGCGGACGGGUGAGUAACACGUGGAUAACCUACCUAUAAUACUGGGAUAACUUCGGGAAACCGGAGCUAAUACCGGAUAAUAUAUUGAACCGCAUGGUUCAAUAGUGAAAGACGGUUUUGCUGUCACUUAUAGAUGGAUCCGCGCCGCAUUAGCUAGUUGGUAAGGUAACGGCUUACCAAGGCAACGAUGCGUAGCCGACGUGAGGGGGGGAUCGCCCACACGGGAACUGAAACACGGACCAGACGCCUACGGGAGGCAGCAGUAGGGAAUCGUCCGCAAUGGGCGAAAGCCUGACGGAGUAACGCCGCGUGAGUGAUGAAGGUCUUCGGAUCGUAAAACUCUGUUAUUAGGGAAGAACAAAUGUGUAAGUAACUAUGCACGGCUUGACGGUACCUAAUCAGAAAGCCACGGCUAACUACGUG